UGCUCCAUUGACUAGGUUACAUAUUUAAAAUUUCAUGUGGUGGAUUAGUGUUUUUUGUUUGGCACAUUUAUGAUAUGUCUUUGAAUCUAUCCAUUUUAUCAGAUACAAGGUAGUUGUGCAAGCUGUUCAUGAUAGUCACAAGGCUGAAUUUGUGUUUUGGGAUAGUGAAGGUCUUCAGAUUAUUGGUAUUACUGCCCAAGCUCUUAGGAAGACUAUGCAAGAGGUCGAUGAGGAUGAUCCUAAAAUAUACCAAAAACAUCUAUAUAAACUACUCGGUCUUGAGUCUGUGUUACGUGUCAACCAUCAGCCAUACUAUCAUCAAUCAUUCGUUUUAGGUGUUUCCCAUGAUCCUGUUGUCAUCAAAAAAAAUUAAGUCUCAUCUUCAGCCAGAGGGGCAAUAACUUGAUGAGAAUGUUAUCUAUGAUAAUCCAACCCAGACAUUCAUUCUUGAGAAGAAUAAUGCUUCUGCUAAGUGCUCAGAUUCCCUUAACAUUCCCACGGUAUAAUAAUUAAACACAUUGAAUUUCUCUGUGAUUUGUUAUUGUAAUUAUUAAUAUUAUAUUCAUUUUAACUAUGGAAAUUUUAUCCUUAUUGUGACAACAUUCUUCUCUGCUUGUGGUGAAAAUGAUUUGGAAUUGCACUCAUGCAAAGUGUUCGUCCACUGAGAAAUACCUAGAUGACAUUGCAUCUGAUGCCUAUAAUCCAACACAAUUGUCUUCCACUAAGUUGGCCAAACACAUCAUGAAGGAGUGAUUGACCUUUUCUUUGUCUGCUUUUUUGAAAACAUGUCAUAGACUCUUGCAAAGUUAUUUGACUUUCAUAUAUAAUUAGAUUCUGAGAUGUUAGUAAGGAUAUCUAACUAGAAAAUAAUGGUUGUUUCCAAAAUCUAAUCUGAUAAAGAAAUUAUGUAUGUAAGUUGAACAACAUUUUUUUUUAAUUUUAAAGUUUUUUAGUAUGUGAAACAAAUAAGAUUGAUCAUAAUUUAUGAUUUCUAUUUCUGCCUCUUUUUUUUUAAAAAAAAAUUGGUUGAAUAUAGUCACCAAUGAACAAGAACAGUUAAACUCUUAUUUAUAAUUGGUUGCAUAGGACGGAAAAUAUUAACUUUAUCAGUGCAUUAUGUCACCCAAUUGAUUCGUCUAUGAUCUUAACCUAUAUUCUUAGAAAAAAUGCAUCAACAUUGUUGAAACAAAUGGAAAUUAACAUCCGGUAAAAAAUUGCUAAAACAUGUUGCAUACAUUUAAAGACAAAAAUGUUAAUAGCAUCCCUGAAAACACAUUUGUAGAAACAAUGGUGUUACGAACUACAUAAUAUAACUUUCAUGCAAUGACACAUAAUUUUAAUCAUUGAAAAACAUUAAAACGUUUACUAUAUAGUUGCACCAGUUUUUCUUGAUCAGAGUGAAAGAGACACUUUUUAUGCAUCAAAGUUUUAUAAUGCUUUGUGUCCGCCCCUUAAAGAGUAGAAUAAAAAGGUCCUACAUUGUCGUCGAGGGCAUUUUCAGGACAUGUCUUUGGCAAAAUCGGAAGAUUAGAAUUUAAGCAAUUAUGCGUUUAUAAGAUUAGAAUUCAGUUGCUCCAAGCAGUGGUUUGUACAGGACAACUACCCAUACUUAUAAGUUGUUUUUCCAUAUGAGGACCAAAGUGAGUGUUGUUGAGGGUCCCUUGCUUCCCAUGUUUGGAUUAACUUUGACUAAUAUAGUUGAGGUUAACCAUCAAACCGUGGACAACGAUUAUUUGAUUGGUUUGUUGUUUUCAUAGAGUUAUCUACAUAUCUUCCUAAUUUGCUUAUUUUCCUUAUG